rnacentral:rRNA from 1 species
GUGAGGAAUUUUCCGCAAUGGGCGAAAGCCUGACGGAGCAAUGCCGCGUGAAGGAUGAAGGCCUAUGGGUUGUAAACUUCUUUUCUCAGAAAAGAAUUAUGACGGUAUCUGAGGAAUAAGCAUCGGCUAACUCUGUGCCAGCAGCCGCGGUAAGACAGAGGAUGCAAGCGUUAUCCGGAAUGAUUGGGCGUAAAGCGUCUGUAGGUUGUUUAAAAAGUAUUCUGUCAAAGAUUAGGGCUUAACCCUAGAUAGGCAGAAUAAACUUUUAAGAUAGAGUUUGGUAGAGGCAGAGGGAAUUCCCGGUGGAGCGGUGAAAUGCGUAGAUAUCGGGAGGAACACCAAAGGCGAAGGCACUCUGCUGGGCCAAUACUAACACUGAGAGACGAAAGCGAGGGGAGCAAAUGGGAUUAGAAACCCCGGUAGUCC